rnacentral:rRNA from 1 species
GACGAACGCUGGCGGCGUGCUUAACACAUGCAAGUCGAACGGAGAAUUUUAUUUCGGUGAAAUUCUUAGUGGCGAACGGGUGAGUAACGCGUAGACAACCUACCUCUCAGAUGGGGACAACAUCGCGAAAGCGGUGCUAAUACCGAAUGAUGUACCUUUUCUGCAUGGAAGAGUUACCAAAGGCGGCCUCUAUUUAUAAGCUGUCACUGAGAGAUGGGUCUGCGUCUGAUUAGCUAGUUGGCGGGGUAAUGGCCCACCAAGGCGACGAUCAGUAGCCGGUCUGAGAGGAUGAACGGCCACAUUGGGACUGAGACACGGCCCAAACUCCUACGGGAGGCAGCAGUGGGGAAUCUUCCGCAACGGACGAAAGUCUGACGGAGCAACGCCGCGUGAGUGAAGAAGGUUUUCGGAUCGUAAAGCUCUGUUGUUUGAGACGAACGUGCAAUUUUUGAAUAAGGAAUUGUAAUGACGGUAUUAAACGAGAAAGCCACGGCUAACUACGUGCCAGCCGCCGCAGUAA